rnacentral:rRNA from 2 species
UACAUGCAGUCGAACGAGUUCUCGUUGAUGAUCGGUGCUUGCACCGAGAUUCAACAUGGAACGAGUGGCGGACGGGUGAGUAACACGUGGGUAACCUGCCCUUAAGUGGGGGAUAACAUUUGGAAACAGAUGCUAAUACCGCAUAGAUCCAAGAACCGCAUGGUUCUUGGCUGAAAGAUGGCGUAAGCUAUCGCUUUUGGAUGGACCCGCGGCGUAUUAGCUAGUUGGUGAGGUAAUGGCUCACCAAGGCGAUGAUACGUAGCCGAACUGAGAGGUUGAUCGGCCACAUUGGGACUGAGACACGGCCCAAACUCCUACGGGAGGCAGCAGUAGGGAAUCUUCCACAAUGGACGCAAGUCUGAUGGAGCAACGCCGCGUGAGUGAAGAAGGCUUUCGGGUCGUAAAACUCUGUUGUUGGAGAAGAAUGGUCGGCAGAGUAACUGUUGCCGGCGUGACGGUAUCCAACCAGAAAGCCACGGCUAACUACGUGCCAGCAGCCGCGGUAAUACGUAGGUGGCAAGCGUUAUCCGGAUUUAUUGGGCGUAAAGCGAGCGCAGGCGGUUUUUUAAGUCUGAUGUGAAAGCCCUCGGCUUAACCGAG